CUCAUUAAAUCAGUUAUCGUUUAUUUGAUAGUACCUUACUACUUGGAUAACCGUGGUAAUUCUAGAGCUAAUACAUGCUAAAAACCCCGACUUCGGAAGGGGUGUAUUUAUUAGAUAAAAAACCAAUGCCCUUCGGGGCUCCUUGGUGAUUCAUGAUAACUUAACGAAUCGCAUGGCCUUGCGCCGGCGAUGGUUCAUUCAAAUUUCUGCCCUAUCAACUUUCGAUGGUAGGAUAGUGGCCUACCAUGGUAUCAACGGGUAACGGGGAAUUAGGGUUCUAUUCCGGAGAGGGAGCCUGAGAAACGGCUACCACAUCCAAGGAAGGCAGCAGGCGCGCAAAUUACCCAAUCCCGACACGGGGAGGUAGUGACAAUAAAUACUGAUACAGGGCUCUUUUGGGUCUUGUAAUUGGAAUGAGUACAAUUUAAAUACCUUAACGAGGAACAAUUGGAGGGCAAGUCUGGUGCCAGCAGCCGCGGUAAUUCCAGCUCCAAUAGCGUAUAUUAAAGUUGUUGCAGUUAAAAAGCUCGUAGUUGAACCUUGGGCCUGGCUGGCCGGUCCGCCUCACCGCGUGUACUGGUCCGGCCGGGCCUUUCCUUCUGGGGAUCCCCAUGCCCUUCACUGGGUGUGGUGGGGAACCAGGACUUUUACUUUGAAAAAAUUAGAGUGUUCAAAGCAGGCCUUUGCUCGAAUACAUUAGCAUGGAAUAAUAGAAUAGGACGUGCGGUCCUAUUUUGUUGGUUUCUAGGACCGCCGUAAUGAUUAAUAGGGAUAGUCGGGGGCAUCAGUAUUCAAUUGUCAGAGGUGAAAUUCUUGGAUUUAUUGAAGACUAACUACUGCGAAAGCAUUUGCCAAGGAUGUUUUCAUUAAUCAGUGAACGAAAGUUAGGGGAUCGAAGACGAUCAGAUACCGUCGUAGUCUUAACCGUAAACUAUGCCGACUAGGGAUCGGGCGAUGUUAUUAUUUUGACUCGCUCGGCACCUUACGAGAAAUCAAAGUCU
rnacentral:rRNA from 4 species